CAAGAAGAGACCCUAACCGGUCCUCUCAACCCUGCCCAUCGUACCUUUUUUGUCGUUCCCUCGGCGGUGCUCGCGGGCCCGCCGGCGGGAAGACCAAACAAACCCUUUGCAAACAAGCAUAUCGAAUCUCUGAUCAAACAUGAAUUGUCA
rnacentral:misc_RNA from 1 species